rnacentral:rRNA from 1 species
GGGAUGCAUGGCGCAGCUGAUGCAGCCAUGCCGCGUGAGUGAUGAAGGCCUUCGGGUUGUAAAGCUCUUUCGCCAGGGAAGAAAAUGACUGUAUUUAUAUGAGAAUGACCGGACAAUUCCUUGCCAGCACGCCUGAUUUUAAUACAUGCCCCGCGCCGCUAUAAUAA